AUUGAACGCUGGCGGCAUGCUUUACACAUGCAAGUCGAACGGCAGCGCGGGCUUCGGCCUGGCGGCGAGUGGCGAACGGGUGAGUAAUGCAUCGGAACGUGCCCAGUAGUGGGGGAUAGCCCGGCGAAAGCCGGAUUAAUACCGCAUACGACCUGAGGGUGAAAGCGGGGGACCGAAAGGCCUCGCGCUAUUGGAGCGGCCGAUGUCGGAUUAGCUAGUUGGUGGGGUAAAGGCUUACCAAGGCGACGAUCCGUAGCUGGUCUGAGAGGACGACCAGCCACACUGGGACUGAGACACGGCCCAGACUCCUACGGGAGGCAGCAGUGGGGAAUUUUGGACAAUGGGGGCAACCCUGAUCCAGCCAUGCCGCGUGCGGGAAGAAGGCCUUCGGGUUGUAAACCGCUUUUGUUCGGGAAGAAAUCCUCUGGGCUAAUACCCGGGGGGAUGACGGUACCGGAAGAAUAAGCACCGGCUAACUACGUG
rnacentral:rRNA from 1 species